GAUGAACGCUGGCGGUAUGCUUAACACAUGCAAGUCGAACGGAUGUUUUCGGACAUUAGUGGCGGACGGGUGAGUAACGCGUGAGAAUCUGCCUAUAGGUUGGGGACAACAGAUGGAAACGUCUGCUAAUACCCGAUGUGCCGAGAGGUAAAAGCUUUAGUGCCUGUAGAUGAGCUCGCGUCCGAUUAGCUAGUUGGUUGGGUAAAGGCUGACCAAGGCGACGAUCGGUAGCUGGUCUGAGAGGAUGAUCAGCCACACUGGGACUGAGACACGGCCCAGACUCCUACGGGAGGCAGCAGUGGGGAAUUUUCCGCAAUGGGCGAAAGCCUGACGGAGCAAUACCGCGUGCGGGACGAAGGCUUUUGGGUCGUAAACCGCUUUUGUUAGGGAAGAAGAACUGACGGUACCUAACGAAUCAGCAUCGGCUAACUCCGUGCCAGCAGCCGCGGUAAUACGGGGGAUGCAAGCGUUAUCCGGAAUUAUUGGGCGUAAAGCGUCCGCAGGUGGUUUAUCAAGUCUGCUGUCAAAGCGUGGGGCUUAACCCCAUACAGGCAGUGGAGACUGAGAGACUAGAGUACGGUAGGGGUAGCGGGAAUUCCCAGUGUAGCGGUGAAAUGCGUAGAUAUUGGGAAGAACACCAGCGGCGAAGGCGCGCUACUGGGCCGAAACUGACACUCAUGGACGAAAGCUAGGGGAGCGAAAGGGAUUAGAUACCCCUGUAGUCCUAGCUGUAAACGAUGACAACUAGGUGUUGCGCG
rnacentral:rRNA from 1 species